rfam:Aedes aegypti strain Liverpool supercont1.562 genomic scaffold, whole genome shotgun sequence.
UGUUCUGUCGCUUAGUUGGUUAAAGCGCCGGUCUAGCGUACACGGAGUCGUGAGUUCGAGUCUCACUAGAACGC